GUGUUCGCUUCAGUAGCACAUGUGCUGAAACUGGAACACCAUAGAGAAGACUAGCAUGGCCCCUUUGUAAGGAUAACCCACAAAUUCAUAAAGCAUUCCCUAUCUCU